rnacentral:rRNA from 1 species
UUUUAUCAGAGAGUUUGAUCCUGGCUCAGGAUGAACGCUGGCGGCGUGCUUAACACAUGCAAGUCGAGCGAAGCAGUUAAGUUGAUUUCUUCGGAUUGAUUCUUAA